UCAACAAACAGGCCUGAAUGCUACAAGAUGGCAUGCUCCUCUGACCUCCUCUGAGAGAGUUCAGGGCACGGGCUAAAAUCUCUCACUUCUGUCCUUUUUCCAGAAUAAGCAGGUAGAGCAUGCAGUGAGCACAGACUCCAAAAGGUCAACCUCCCUUUUCCCAGAUCAAGAUCCCUUGAGUAAAGAAGGAAUGCUCGACGAUACUCCAAACUAAAAAAAAACCUCCAUACUCCAUCAGCCCUCUUAACUCAUUCCUCAAUCUGCCCACCCAAGUACCACUAAGUCUUAACCAGAGCACAUCUGUCUAGUGUGCUGAGAGCAAAAGUCUAGAGACUCCGGUGCGGCUCUACACCUUCAAGUAUACUUGUACCAUGCCAGCCAGGGCUGCAGGAAGACUGCAGUCCAUCUCACCAUGGCAACUCUGCCCUUCAUCUCACUCUAGGGCACAGCACUCCAACUGAUCUGGACAACACUUCGCCAUUUCUUCUGUUAGGAGGAUGUUGAAUAAAAAGCCACAAAACCAGGUUGUAGCAAUUGAUGAAAGCGGCUAUAAGUGAAGUUGGAUUCGCCUACUCGCCCCAGCCAUGCUGCCUCUCAGCUUCUCCUGGACUCCUCCUCACCUGCUUCCCCACAGGAACCCUGCACCACAGGGCUGAUGGCACCUCGUAUGGGAGAGGAGAUGGCACUGUCAUACUUAAGGCUGUCUUCUGUGUUUGCAAAAUGUAUUCAAGUGAAACGGGAAUGAUACUCCUCUACACUGGAGGACUCACACUUGCAUUCAUACUGCUCCCUGCGACAGACAAGCACAGCAGACACUUCUGUCCACCAACAGCUUAGCAUGAGACGACGAUCCAUUUCUUGAGAAGCACGCACACAGAUAACACAGUUUAAACAAAUUGCUCCACCCUGUGCUGCUUGACCCCGGGAAGAUCCAUCUCUCUCCUACAGAUUACUGUUACAUCUUUUAAAUGGCUCAGAGCCACAGCUUUCAACGUGUGUCCUGAGGACCCCCAGGGUUCAUGAAGUAAAAAUGUUGUCAUGAUAAUAAAAACUUGAGAUGCUA